ensembl:lncRNA
CUGCUCUAUACUGAGAAGAACAUCCUGACUCCAAGUUGAUGAAUUUUACCUGUGUCUCUGCAACUAAGUCUCACUGACAUCGAAGGAUAUUUUCUUUAGUUCAAAAGGUCAAAUGGCAGUAUCCUGAAUUAUCAACUCACAGACCACUGAGUCUCGCUAUGCAGUUCAGACCGGCCUUGAACUCACUAUGGAGCCCAACUGACCUUGAACUCUCAGUUAUCCUCCUGCCUCAGCCUCCCAAGUGUUGGGAUUAUAGGCCUGCACCAUCAUGCCUGGCAUCAUUAAUAUUUUUUUUAGGGACAUUCAUGUUUGAUUUGUGGCAAUAAUUCACUCAUUUUUAUUGCUUUAUCAUAACUGAUUGUAUAAAUAUACCACAAUUGUAUUUUUGUGGAUAUUUUAUUAUUUAGGCCUUUAUUAAAAAAUGCUGCUAUACACAUUUGCAUACAUAUCUUUGAAUGCAUUUAUGUAAUGUUUCUUUAGGACAUGUCCCUUGGAGUAGAAGUUUUGGGCAAUAAGAUAUGCAUAUGUUCAGCUAUAGCACACACUGCCAAACAGUUUUCCAAAUUAGUAUUCCAAGUUAACCCUCAACAUUUGGUAUUAUCAUUCUUUUUACUUUUAACCAUUCAGGUGGGCGCCUAGUGAUAGAACUCUGCUAUUUUAAUUUGUAUUCUCCCCGUGACUAAUGAUGUUUUCAGUGCCUUUUCCUGUGUUUAUUGACCAUUCAAGCAUCCUGUUUCUAUUAAAUUUUUGUCUUUAGC